rnacentral:rRNA from 1 species
GACGAACGCUGGCGGCGUGCCUAAUACAUGCAAGUAGAACGCUGAAGGAGGAGCUUGCUUCUCUGGAUGAGUUGCGAACGGGUGAGUAACGCGUAGGUAACCUGCCUGGUAGCGGGGGAUAACUAUUGGAAACGAUAGCUAAUACCGCAUAAUAGUAGAUGUUGCAUGACAUUUACUUAAAAGGUGCAAUUGCAUCACUACCAGAUGGACCUGCGUUGUAUUAGCUAGUUGGUGGGGUAACGGCUCACCAAGGCGACGAUACAUAGCCGACCUGAGAGGGUGAUCGGCCACACUGGGACUGAGACACGGCCCAGACUCCUACGGGAGGCAGCAGUAGGGAAUCUUCGGCAAUGGACGGAAGUCUGACCGAGCAACGCCGCGUGAGUGAAGAAGGUUUUCGGAUCGUAAAGCUCUGUUGUAAGAGAAGAACGAGUGUGAGAGUGGAAAGUUCACACUGUGACGGUAUCUUACCAG